UACGAAGGGGGCUAGCGUUGCUCGGAAUCACUGGGCGUAAAGCGCACGUAGGCGGAUUGCUAGUCAGGGGUGAAAUCCUGGAGCUCAACUCCAGAACUGCCUUUGAUACUGAGGAUCUUGAGUUCGGGAGAGGUGAGUGGAACUGCGAGUGUAGAGGUGAAAUUCGUAGAUAUUCGCAAGAACACCCAGUGGCGAAGGCGGCUCACUGGCCCGAGUACUGACGCUG
rnacentral:rRNA from 1 species